rnacentral:misc_RNA from 1 species
AACAAGGCGUACCUGCGGACCUGCGGAAGGAUCAUCAUCGAAUUCAUAUCCCCCUCCUCUCCCGGAGGGGGACCCAUGAUAAACCCUUCUGUGCACCGUAAACCGUUCACUUUGGCAGGCUUUGGUGGUGGGCGUGAGCUCGCCUCCAACCUCGCGUUCCUCCCUCCCUAUAAGGGUGUUAUGCGUGGCGGCCUGCCGGAGUCCUAUUAAAAAACUCGUUUUCGAACACGUCUGAAAAUU